rnacentral:rRNA from 1 species
AGGUCCUGCCUGCCCAGUGACUAUGUUAAACGGCCGCGGUAUUUUGACCGUGCAAAGGUAGCGCAAUCACUUGUCUUUUAAAUGAAGACCUGUAUGAAUGGUGGAACGAGGGCCUAACUGUCUCCCCUUUCAAGUCAAUGAAAUUGAUCUACCCGUGCAGAAGCGGGUAUAUAAAUACAAGACGAGAAGACCCUUUGGAGCUUAAGAUUAAAAAUCAACUAUGUCAAAUAUUCAUUAAAUAGAACUAAAUAGUAACUGAUCAUAAUCUUCGGUUGGGGCGACCACGGAAUAAAAACAAACUUCCACAUGGACUGAGGACUAACCUUAAAACCAAGAAAGACAUUUCUAAGCCACAGAAUUUCUGACCACACAGAUCCGGCAAAUUGCCGAUCAAUGGACCAAGUUACCCUAGGGAUAACAGCGCAAUCCCCUUUUAGAGUUCCUAUCGACAAGGGGGUUUACGACCUCGAUGUUGGAUCAGGAC